rnacentral:rRNA from 1 species
UACGGAGGGUGCAAGCGUUAAUCGGAAUAACUGGGCGUAAAGGGCAUGCAGGCGGUUCAUCAAGUAGGAUGUGAAAUCCCCGGGCUCAACCUGGGAACAGCAUACUAAACUGGUGGACUAGAGUAUUGCAGGGGGAGACGGAAUUCCAGGUGUAGCGGUGGAAUGCGUAGAUAUCUGGAAGAACACCAAAGGCGAAGGCAGUCUCCUGGGCAAAUACUGACGCUCAUAUGCGAAAGCGUGGGUAGCAAACAGGAUUAGAUACCCUGGUAGUCCACGCCGUAAGCGAUGUCAAUUAGGAGCUUGGGCAAUAGUCUGGGUUCCGCAGCUAACGCAAUAAAUUGACCGCCUGGGGAGUACGGCCGCAAGGUUAAA